rnacentral:lncRNA from 1 species
UGGCAACUGACCUCAGCCCAGGACCCUCUCCCCAUUUCAGAUUGGAAAUAACGAGAGUACAGGGCUGUGUGUAUCUGAUUCUGCAAUGCGUCUGCCAUGCCUGGGGAGCUGUUGGGAGAGGGAGCACCAUGAAGUUCACCAGCAGCCAGAAGAAGAUUCCUGAGAGGCCAAGCCAAGUGCUACCUAGAGAGGCCAGCAUGUGGGCUCCACAUUUCUGCUGAAGACGCCUGUGCCCACAAUAAGGCCUGUGUUGGUGUCAGUCUGGAAGAUUAGAGAAGCGGGCAGUGCAGAGCGAAGAGGAGACAGCAGUGGCCAGAGGUGAAACACUGAGGUAGCAGCAGAAAUUCAAAGAAAGAUGACCAGGAAAGAACAUAAGACAUUAAUGGAGCUCAUGUGAGGUAUCUAGAGGACCCAAGUGGUGUUUUUAAAAGAAGCUUAUCAAUGCUGGCAGAUUCCUGCCUCGGUGUGUGUCCCACGGUAAG